GACGAACGCUGGCGGCGUGCUUAACACAUGCAAGUGGAGCGACGAACCAGGGUUCGCCCUGGGGCAAAGCCGCGAACGGGUGAGUAACACGUGGGUAACCUGCCCCGAUAACCGGGACAACCCGAGGAAACUCGGGCUAAUACCGGAUGUGCCCGCCUCACAUCAGUGAGGUGUGUAAAGGAAGCUUCGGCCUCCGUAUCGGGAUGGGCCCGCGGCCCAUUAGCUUGUUGGUGAGGUAACGGCUCACCAAGGCUUCGAUGGGUAGCUGGUCUGAGAGGACGAUCAGCCACACUGGGACUGAGACACGGCCCAGACUCCUACGGGAGGCAGCAGUGGGGAAUCUUGCGCAAUGCGCGAAAGCGUGACGCAGCAACGCCGCGUGGGGGAAGACGGCCUUCGGGUUGUAAACCCCUUUCAGUUGGGACGAAGCCUCGUCCGUUAAUAGCGGCUCGGGGUGACGGUACCGUUC
rnacentral:rRNA from 1 species